rnacentral:tRNA from 1 species
AGCUAGUAAACUAAAGACAUUAGAUUUAUAUUUCGGCUAUAAAGUUGGUUUAUUUAACCUGCUGGUUG